rnacentral:tRNA from 1 species
GCAGUGGUGGCUCAGUGGUAGAAUCCUCGCCUUCCGUGUGAAUGACCUGAGUUUGAGUCUCAGCCAAUGCA